GAGUUUGAUCAUGGCUCAGGAUGAACGCUAGCUACAGGCUUAACACAUGCAAGUCGUGGGGCAGCGGGUGCUUAGCUUGCUAAGUAUGCCGGCGACCGGCGCACGGGUGAGUAACGCGUACCGAACCUGCCCAUCACACAGGGAUAGGCUUGCGAAAGCAAGAUUAAUACCUGAUGGUCUCAGUUGUAUGCAUGUAUGAUUGAGUAAAGCCUUCGGGCGGUGAUGGAUGGCGGUGCGUCCCAUUAGGAUGUUGGCGGGGUAACGGCCCACCAAUCCUUCGAUGGGUAGGGGUUCUGAGAGGAAGGUCCCCCACAUUGGAACUGAGAUACGGUCCAAACUCCUACGGGAGGCAGCAGUGAGGAAUAUUGGUCAAUGGGCGAGAGCCUGAACCAGCCAAGUAGCGUGCGGGAUGAAGGCCCUUGUGGUCGUAAACCGCUUUUAUCAGUGAAUAAAGUGCAUCACGUGUGGUGUCAUUGCAGGUAGCUGAAGAAAAAGGACCGGCUAAUUCCGUGCCAGCAGCCGCGGUAAUACGGAAGGUCCGGGCGUUAUCCGGAAUUAUUGGGUUUAAAGGGAGCGCAGGCGGGAGUAUAAGUCAGCUGUUAAAUAUCAGGGCCCAACUCUGUUAUGCAGUUGAAACUAUAUUUCUUGAGUACGCACAAGGGGAGUGGAAGAAUUGCGAGGGGGGGCGGGAAAAUUGUUUAAAAUCCCCGGAAGACCUUCGAUGGGGGAGGCCAGCUUCGGGGGGAAAAAGAGAGGGGAGGGUUAAGAGGGGGGGUUUACAAAACGGGAUUACCAACCGGGGGUGCUCCGCAAAGAAAGGGAAGAAACCCGGGCGGUGGGUUUUGGGGGGGGGGGGGGCCAGGAAGAGGUUUUAUUUUUCCCGGGGGGGGGGCGGCCGGAAGGAGAAAAACUUAAAGGAAAUGAGGGGGGCCCCACAAAGGGGGAAAAAAAUGUUGUUAAAUUGGGAGAAAGGGGGAGAACCUUUCCCCGGGUUUGAACCAAGGAGGGGAGAAGAGAAGAGUGGCGUUUUUUCUUGGGAACAUUUUGGGAGGUGGCGCAGGUUUUUUUCAACUUGGCCCGGGAGGUGUCGGUUAAGGGCCAAAGAGGGAGCGAACCUUUUUUUAAUUUUCCCCAGGGGAUAUGCCGGGGACUUCCGGUGUAUACUCCGCCCCCAGGCGGAAGAAGGGUGGGGAUGACGUAAAUUAAGCAGGGCCUUACGGUCCGGGGGUACACAGGGUUUACAUUGUCGGAGCAGCAGGAAGCUACCGGCGACAGGAUGCUGAUCCCCAAACCCGGCCUCAGUUCGGACUGGAGUCUGCAACCNGACUCCACGAAGCCGGAUUCGCUAGUAAUCGCGCAUCAGCCAUGGCGCGGUGAAUACGUUCCCGGGCCU
rnacentral:rRNA from 1 species